rnacentral:lncRNA from 1 species
GUCUCUAUGGGUCUCUAUGGGGCUCUAUGGGGCACUGUGGGGCACUAUGGGUCUCUAUGGGGCUCUAUGGGUCUCUAUGCAUCUCUAUGGGGCGCUGUGGGUCUCUAUGGAGCACUAUGGGUCACAGUGGAUCUCUAUGGGGUUUCUAUGGGGCACAGUGGUUCUAUAUGGGGUUCUGUGGGGCUCUAUGGGGUCUCUAUGGGGUCUCUAUGGGGCGCUAUGGGGCACUAUGGGGCACUAUGGGGUCUCUAUGGAACUCUAUGGGGCUCUUUGGUUUUCUAUGGGGUUCUGUGGGGCUCUAUGGGUCGCUAUGGGUCGCUGUGGGUCCCGCUAUGGGUCGCUAUGGGUCUCUAUGGGGCACUAUGGGCUCUGUGUGUCUCUAUGGGGCACUGUGGGUCUUAAUGACUCUCUAUGGGUCGCUAUGGGUCUCUAUGGGUCGCUAUGGGUCUCUAUGGGUCGCUAUGGGUCUCUAUGGGUCGCCAUGGGUCUCUAUGGGUCUCCAUGGGGCACUGUGGGUCUCUAUGGGUCCUCUAUGUGGUUCUGUGGGGCGCUGUGGGUCUCCAUGGGGCUGUGUUUGGCUCUAUGGGGCGCUAUGGGGCACUGUGGGUCUCUAUAGGUUUCUAUGGGGCACGGUGGGUCCCUGUGGGUCUCUAUGGGGCGCUAUGGGUCGCUAUGCAGCUCUAUGGGGCUCUGUGGGGCUCUGUGGGGUCUCUGUGGAGCUCUGUGGGGCUCUAUGGGUCGCUGUGGGUCCCGCUAUGGGUCACUAUGAGUCUCUAUGGGGCACUGUGUGUCUCUAUGUGUCUCUAUGGGUCUCUAUGGGUCCCUAUGUGUUUCUAUGGGGUCUCUAUGGGUCUCUAUGGGUCUCUAUGGGUCGCUAUGGGUCUCUAUGUUUCUCUAUGGGUCUCUAUGGGGCUCAGUGUGUCUCUAUGGGUCUCUAUGGGUCCCUAUGGGUCCCUAUGUGUCUCUAUGGGUCUCUAUGUGUCGCUAUGGGUCUCUAUGGGUCUCUAUGGGUCGCUAUGGGUCGCUAUGUGUCUCUAUGGGUCUCUAUGGGUCGCUAUGGGUCUCUAUGGGUCCCUAUGGGUCUCUAUGGGUCACUAUGGGUCGCUAUGGGUCUCUAUGGGUCUCUAUGGGUCGGUAUGGGCCGGUAUGGGUCUCUAUGGGUCUCUAUGGGUCGCUAUGGGUCUCUGUGGGUCUCUAUGGGUCGCUAUUUGUCUUUGUGGGUUGCUAUGGGUCUCUAUGGGUCGCUAUGGGUCACUAUGGGUCUCUGUGGGUCUCUAUGGGUCGCUAUUUGUCUCUGUGGGUCGCUAUGGGUCUCUAUGGGUCGCUAUGGCUCUCUAUGGGUCUCUGUGGGUCUCUAUGGGUCCCUAUGGGUCUCUAUGGGGUC